UAUAUAUGUAAAAUACUUAGAACAGUGCCUGGAACUUGAUAAACACUCAAUGGGAGUUACCUAUUAUUGUUAUUAGUAAAAGCAAAAUUGUUAAAUAAAUCAAAAAUGACCUGAACUGUCAACUGCAGUUGUAACACAAGGGAAAUGUUCAAAUUUAUAAUUUAUUCAAGAAAUAUAUUGUUGUACUUGGCCAGAGUAGUUAAAAAAUUAAUACCCAAUGCUAGUGAAGAUGAAGUAAAAACAUUAAUGGGAUUUCUACUAUUCUGCUA
rnacentral:lncRNA from 1 species